CAUGGAAUCUUGGACGGAAGGGUGAAUGAAGUUUAUGAAAGAAGAGAGGAUUCCAUGCUCUUGUAAGUGCUUUUAAACUGAUCAGUUCAGAGGAGCUGAACAUGUGAAACAUGACCAUUCAUGAAGCCAAAAGACUGAAAUCACAGUAACCAGAAGUCAACAACAGCUGAUUCCCAAUGAAGACAUACGAGUAAUUAGGAGCCGUUCCAAAUUAAGUUCUUGCUCGUAUACAUAUUUUGAGAGGAAAAGCUAAAGAUCAUGUAAGGGCCAAGCCUGCCUUCAUCGCUCAGGGAGAGAGCAGGCACUUAAAAGCUCCACCACGCACACAAGUUGCGCGUGGCAAAUAUCUUUCUUUAGGAUAUAAUAGUCUCCUCCUCGAGCUGGCCCAAAGCAGCCAGCGCAAAGACAAGAGUCACAAGACAGAUACAUCAGCCACCAAUGUCUCGCCACAGACGCCAAGCCUCUCGAGUCCUCCCACCAGAGUUAACAUUGGAAGGGGACGAACCGCCUCCCAAAUCCACUGACUCAACCCAAGCAAUUGCUAGUCCUUAUGGUCGUCACGGCUCUAAUGGUUCAACCACUGACAGGUCUGCAGCAAACCCAUCCGCAACUAUUCAUCAUCAUCAUCACCACCAAGACUCUUUCGGAAACCAUUCCCAGGGUCCUGAAAAGAAGCCUUCUGCGAGCACCAAACCUUCUUGAUAGCUGACAGCUGAAGCAGAACAAGUACUUAAUAUAUUUUUGUAGUUAUGUUAAAGCUGAUCCUCAUGUUUCUUCCCUGUUCCAGUUCCUUUUUUUUUUCUUUCUUUCUGUUUUCACUUGGUAAGGUGAAAAGCUUUUUAUUUGUUCCUGUAUGUUUAUGGGAAGUGGUGAUUAGCUAGAAAAGUCUGCCAUAGUUUUUAUUUUCCUC